GAGGAUAUAGCUCAGCGACAGAGCACAUGCUUAGCAAGCACAAAGUCCUGGGUUCAAUCCUCAGUACCGCCA
rnacentral:tRNA from 1 species